rnacentral:rRNA from 1 species
AACGAACGCUGGCGGCAUGCCUAACACAUGCAAGUCGAACGAGACCUUCGGGUCUAGUGGCGCACGGGUGCGUAACGCGUGGGAACCUGCCCUUAGGUUCGGAAUAACUCCCCGAAAGGGGUGCUAAUACCGGAUAAUGUCUUCGGACCAAAGUUUUAUCGCCUUUGGAUGGGCCCGCGUUGGAUUAGCUAGUUGGUAGGGUAAAAGCCUACCAAGGCGACGAUCCAUAGCUGGUCUGAGAGGAUGAUCAGCCACACUGGGACUGAGACACGGCCCAGACUCCUACGGAAGGCAGCAGUGGGGAAUAUUGGACAAUGGGCGAAAGCCUGAUCCAGCAAUGCCGCGUGAGUGAUGAAGGCCUUAGGGUUGUAAAGCUCUUUUACCCGGGAUGAUAAUGACAGUACCGGGAGAAUAAGCUCCGGCUAACUCCGUG